ACCUUCACUAAUAUGGGUGGGCAUCCUCCAAUCCAUUGAGAGCCUGAAUAGAAUAAAAAGGCAGAGGAAGGCAGAAUUCACCCUCCU